CACACCAUGAGAGUUGGAGAUACCCGAAGCCUGUGAGCUAACAAACGAGGCAGCAGUCGAAGGUAGAAUCAAUGAUUGGGGUGAAGUCGUAACAAGGUACC
rnacentral:rRNA from 1 species